AUAUGUAUAUGUAUAUACAUAUGUAUAUGUAUACACAUAUGUAUAUGUACCAGUAUAUGUAUAUAUGUAUACAUAC
rnacentral:miRNA from 1 species